GUAAAAGCAAAACUGAAAGCAGAAUUAGUCUGUUGUCUGUAGCACACCCCGUCGGACCAAAAGAAGUAAACGUUAUUAUUUUGCUAUAUAUCUGAAGCCGUAUGAAGCUGUAGAAGAUGGUUCGGGUGUAUUUCAUUGGCAAUGGAUUUGCAAACAAUUACCUCAAUGAGAUCAAGAUCCUCCUCCAGAGUAAAGUGAAGGUGACUGAAGCCAGAGAUCUAUCAGGAUGUGAUGUCAUGGUGGCCCUCUGUGUCAUCGUUUCUCGAGUUGGAACUGAUGUCGAGGCUGCACUUCGAGAGAUUCCUCCAACUGCAAAGCCUGGAGUUCUUGUGGUGCUUCAUCACACUUUCGAUUCAGACUACGUGGUACCAAACACCCAGAGGUUCGUGGAACACAGACAAAUGAUUACGGCAGACCUGCUGUUCAACGAAGGUGAUGGAAUACUCAUUUGCUCAAGGAAUGAACAGUCCAUCAAAAAGGCUGCAGAUGUCCUGCGUCAAAAUGAAACACACACGCCUAGGCCUAUGCUGAUCCACCGUGCUGAUGUCACUAAACAGGCCUCAAAAUGUUCACCAAAAAAAUGGUUAUGUUUUUUGUUCUUUUUGUUUUUCAUUGCAAUUUGUGUUUUGCUCGGCAUUGCUUGUCACUGUUCUAAACCGAUAACUCUACCUAUUCCCAAAGAGGCCAAGACCAAUGUCUCUUUGGGACAAUAAAGUAUA